GCUUCAGCGCAGUGGUUAGAGCACUGGUCUUGUAAACCAGGGGUCGUGAGUUCAAUUCUCGCUGGGGCC
rnacentral:tRNA from 1 species